rnacentral:rRNA from 1 species
UACAGAGGUCUCGAGCGUUGUUCGGAUUCAUUGGGCGUAAAGGGUGCGUAGGUGGCGCUGUAAGUCAGGUGUGAAAUUUCGGAGCUUAACUCCGAAACUGCAUUUGAUACUGCGGUGCUUGAGGACUGGAGAGGAGACUGGAAUUUACGGUGUAGCAGUGAAAUGCGUAGAGAUCGUAAGGAAGACCGGUGGCGAAGGCGGGUCUCUGGGCCGUAACUGACGCUGAGGAGCGAAAGCGCGGGGAGCGAACAGG